rnacentral:misc_RNA from 1 species
UUAACUUAUUUGUGUUUGCUCGAGAUGCCAACGCAAAGAGACAGAAUGGUAGGCUGCCGGCGGGCGCAGCGCCCCGGGGAGACCCGGAGCACCCGCCGAAGCAACGUGCUUUGUAGUAAAUUCACAGGGGUUAUAGGAGUCUUGCGAGUCCAGUAAUGAUCCCUCCGCUGGUUCACCAACGGAGA